UACGGAGUGUGCAAGCGUUACUCGGAAUCACUGGGCAUAAAGCGCGCGUAGGCGGGUUUCCAAGUCGGUUGUGAAAUCCCUCAGCUCAACUGAGGAACUGCAUCCGAUACUGUUUGUCUUGAGGACGGGAGGGGAGAGUGGAACUCCUGGUGUAGCGGUGAAAUGCGCAGAUAUCAGGAGGAACACCAAUUGCGAAGGCAGCUCGCUGGGACGUGACUGACGCUGAGGCGCGAAAGCGUGGGGAGCAAACAGG
rnacentral:rRNA from 1 species